rnacentral:rRNA from 1 species
GGGCGUUAAGUUGCAGGGUAUAGACCCGAAACCCGGUGAUCUAGCCAUGGGCAGGUUGAAGGUUGGGUAACACUAACUGGAGGACCGAACCGACUAAUGUUGAAAAAUUAGCGGAUGACCUGUGGCUGGGGGUGAAAGGCCAAUCAAACCGGGAGAUAGCUGGUUCUCCCCGAAAGCUAUUUAGGUAGCGCCUCGUGAAUUCAUCUCCGGGGGUAGAGCACUGUUUCGGCUAGGGGGCCAUCCCGGCUUACCAACCCGAUGCAAACUGCGAAUACCGGAGAAUGUUAUCACGGGAGACACACGGCGGGUGCUAACGUCCGUCGUGAAGAGGGAAACAACCCAGACCGCCAGCUAAGGUCCCAAAGUCAUGGUUAAGUGGGAAACGAUGUGGGAAGGCCCAGACAGCCAGGAUGUUGGCUUAGAAGCAGCCAUCAUUUAAAGAAAGCGUAAUAGCUCACUGGUCGAGUCGGCCUGCGCGGAAGAUGUAACGGGGCUAAACCAUGCACCGAAGCUGCGGCAGCGAACGUAUCACUUAAAGCGAUUCAGCGGAUGACGAUUGACGGAGCGAAGCGACGUCAAAGCGUAUACAAAGUCGAGUCGGUUUAAGGAUACGUUCGUUGGGUAGGGGAGCGUUCUGUAAGCCUGCGAAGGUGGCCUGUGAGGGUUGCUGGAGGUAUCAGAAGUGCGAAUGCUGACAUAAGUAACGAUAAAGCGGGUGAAAAGCCCGCUCGCCGGAAGACCAAGGGUUCCUGUCCAACGUUAAUCGGGGCAGGGUGAGUCGACCCCUAAGGCGAGGCCGAAAGGCGUAGUCGAUGGGAAACGGGUUAAUAUUCCCGUACUUGGUGUUACUGCGAAGGGGGGACGGAGAAGGCUAUGUUGGCCGGGCGACGGUUGUCCCGGUUUAAGCGUGUAGGCUGGUUUUCCAGGCAAAUCCGGAAAAUCAAGGCUGAGGCGUGAUGACGAGGCACUACGGUGCUGAAGCAACAAAUGCCCUGCUUCCAGGAAAAGCCUCUAAGCAUCAGGUAACAUCAAAUCGUACCCCAAACCGACACAGGUGGUCAGGUAGAGAAUAC